rnacentral:rRNA from 1 species
AUUGAACGCUGGCGGCAUGCUUUACACAUGCAAGUCGAACGGUAACAGGCCGCAAGGUGCUGACGAGUGGCGAACGGGUGAGUAAUGCAUCGGAACGUGCCCAGUCGUGGGGGAUAACUACUCGAAAGAGUAGCUAAUACCGCAUACGAUCUAUGGAUGAAAGCGGGGGACCGUAAGGCCUCGCGCGAUUGGAGCGGCCGAUGUCAGAUUAGGUAGUUGGUGGGGUAAAGGCUCACCAAGCCAACGAUCUGUAGCUGGUCUGAGAGGACGACCAGCCACACUGGGAGUGACACGGCCCAGACUCCUACGGGAGGCAGCAGUGGGGAAUUUUGGACAAUGGGCGCAAGCCUGAUCCAGCAAUGCCGCGUGCAGGAAGAAGGCCUUCGGGUUGUAAACUGCUUUUGUACGGAACGAAACGGCUCUGGUUAAUACCCGGGGCUAAUGACGGUACCGUAAGAAUAAGCACCGGCUAACUACGUG